AAACGCUCGCAGUUGGAUAUCUGUUGAGAACUGCCGGUCUACCCCAGUGGUGAGCACACGGUCUGUUCUCGGCACUUUCCUGGGGAGAGUGUUUGCACUUUGUUGUGUGGCACAUGAUCCAGAACUUUUACUUUGAGGAAAUGAGAGUGUUUCAAGCAGGCUCCUGUCGUGAAUAAGUUAGCGUGGAAUAAGAGCAUGGGACCGCAAUUUGAAGCUGUUGGUUUUUGGGCCGUGGUAAUAAAAAUAGGGAUAGUUGGGGGUAUUCGUAUUUAACUGUCAGAGGUGAAAUUCUUGGAUUUUUUAAAGACGGACCACUGCGAAAGCAUCUGCCCAGGAUGUUUUUAUUGAUCAAGAACGAAAGUUAGGGGGUCGAAGACGAUCAGAUACCGUCCUAGUCUUAACCAUAAACCAUGCCGACUAGAGAUUUGGGUCGUCAGAAUCGUGACGCCCUGAGCACCUUAGGGGAAACCAAAGUCUUCGGGUUCCGGGGGGAGUAUGGUCGCAAGGCUGAAACUUAAAGGAAUUGACGGAAGGGCACCACCAGGAGUGGAGCCUGCGGCUCAAUUUGACUCAACACGGGGAAACUUACCAGGUCCGGACAU
rnacentral:rRNA from 1 species